CAGCGAUUCCCUCAGCCCCAACGCUGCCUUCCAAGCCCUCAGGUGCACGACAACCCUCCAGCAGAAGUCUGGCCACCCUGACAGGACCCACUCCAAGAACACGUCCUGACCACCACAGCCCCACACUGCUUACCUAUGAAAUGGAUCGCGCUGAUUGGGUCUCCUUUGGCACUCUGAUGACAGGCCGCGGUCCCGUGGCCUGACCAGCCCCCGAGACACUGAAGGAGAAGCCAAACCAGGGCCAGGGGCAGGCCUUGGCCCGGCUCGUCAGGUGCAGAGGACGGAGCAGCGUGGUGGACGGACCCUGAAUGCAGUGCAGUAAGAAAUGAUGUUGUGUGACUUAUACUGCUGAGGAAGCAGGAAAGACUUGGGACCUGCGACCAGGGCGAGAACAUCCCUCGACUUGAGCGUGACCUCCAACGUGUGAAGAGGACCUAAGGAAGCAAUGAGGUAUGGUGCACUGAAGACCCUGCCAGGUGUCCUAGCCCUACAGCAUCUCGUGUACCAGCUUUGAUGGAGAGUGAGGUCUUGCACACUCCAGUUGUCAGUCAAACUUCAGGAGCUGUCUGUUGGAGAGGGGGAGAUGUUCAUUAACUCUGAAAAGAAAAUUUUGCUGCUUCUCAACUUAUGUUUGUUUAGUUUAUUUUCUCAAAUAUCUUGUGACUUGUGUAACAUUAUAGGGACUUUACACUUAAGGUAGCAUUGAAUAUAUUGAAAAUAUAUGUAUGGUAAUCUCAAA